rnacentral:rRNA from 1 species
AGCAGCCGCGGUAAUUCCAGCUCCAAUAGCGUAUAUUAAAGUUGUUGCAGUUAAAAAGCUCGUAGUUGAAUUUCGGAAUCUGUCCAUCGGUCGGGCUUUAUUGUCCGUACUGGUGUGGUGGGUUCUUACCUUCUGAAUAACCAGCAUGCCAUUUAUUUGGUGCGUUGGGGAAGCAGGACUAUUACCUUGAAAAAAUUAGAGUGCUCAAAGCAGGCUAGUGCCUGAAUACAUUAGCAUGGAAUAAUAAAAUAGGACGGCAUGGUUCUAUUUUGUUGGUUUCUAGGAUCACCGUAAUGAUUAAUAGGGAUAGUUGGGGGCAUUAGUAUUCAAUUGUCAGAGGUGAAAUUCUUGGAUUUAUUGAAGACUAACUUCUGCGAAAGCAUUUGCCAAGGAUGUUUUCAUUAAUCAAGAACGAAAGUUAGGGGAUCGAAGACGAUCAGAUACCGUCGUAGUCUUAACCAUAAACUAUGCCGACUAGGGAUCGGACGAUGUUAAUUUUUAAUGACUCGUUCGGCGCCUU